rnacentral:rRNA from 1 species
AGAGUUUGAUCCUGGCUCAGAAUCAACGCUGGCGGCGUGCCUAACACAUGCAAGUCGAGCGAGAAAAGGGGAGCAAUCCUCUGAGUAAAGCGGCGCACGGGUGAGUAACACGUGGGUAAUCUGCCCUGAAGUGGGGAAUAACACCGGGAAACCGGUGCUAAUACCGCAUAUGAUCACGGUGUCUGCGGACACAGGGAUGAAAGGAGCAAUUCGCUUCAGGAGGAGCCCGCGGCUGAUUAGCUGGUUGGUGAGGUAAUGGCCCACCAAGGCUACGAUCAGUAUCCGGUCUGAGAGGACGGUCGGACACACUGGAACUGAGACACGGUCCAGACUCCUACGGGAGGCAGCAGUGGGGAAUUUUUCGCAAUGGGGGCAACCCUGACGAAGCAACGCCGCGUGGAUGAUGAAGUAUCUCGGUACGUAAAAUCCUUUCGACAGGGAAGAAACCGCAAGGUUGACGGUACCUGUAGAAGAAGCCCCGGCUAACUCCGUGCCAGCAGCCGCGGUAAUACGGGGGGGGCUAGCGUUGUUCGGAAUUACUGGGCGUAAAGGGCGCGUAGGCGGUCUGCUAAGUUGGAUGUGAAAACUCUGGGCUUAACCCAGAGCCUGCAUUCAAUACUGACAGGCUAGAGUUCUGGAGGGGAUAGCGGAAUUCCUGGUGUAGCGGUGAAAUGCGUAGAUAUCAGGAGGAACACCGGUGGCGAAGGCGGCUAUCUGGACAGAGUCUGACGCUGAGGCGCGAAAGCUAGGGGAGCAAACAGGAUUAGAUACCCUAGUAGUCC